CCUACGGGUGGCAGCAGUGAGGAAUAUUGGUCAAUGGGCGGAAGCCUGAACCAGCCAAGUAGCGUGCAGGAUGACGGCCCUACGGGUUGUAAACUGCUUUUAUACGGGAAUAACGCGCCUUACGUGUAGGGCUUUGCAUGUACCGUAUGAAUAAGGACCGGCUAAUUCCGUGCCAGCAGCCGCGGUAAUACGGAAGGUCCGGGCGUUAUCCGGAUUUAUUGGGUUUCAAGGGAGCGUAGGCCGCAUGUCAAGCGUGCUGUGAAAUGGUCGGGCUCAACCCGGGCCUUGCAGCGCGAACUGGCGUGCUUGAGUCCGCGGAAAGCAGGCGGAAUUCGUCGUGUAGCGGUGAAAUGCUUAGAUAUGACGAAGAACCCCGAUUGCGAAGGCAGCAUGCUGCAGCGGAACUGACGCUGAUGCUCGAAAGCGCGGGUAUCGAACAGGAUUAGAUACCCGAGUAGUC
rnacentral:rRNA from 1 species